rnacentral:snRNA from 1 species
GGAUGUGAAGGUGAUCUGGCUGCGACAUCUGUCACCCCAUUGAUCGCCAGGGUGGAUUUGGCUGAUCUGGCUGGCUAGGCAGGUGUCCCCUUCCUCCCUUGCUGCUCCAUGCGUGUCCCUUCUGAAGCUGUGCGUUUGGUCAGAGAGGACGACCGUCCCCGCUAGAGGAAGACCGGUCUUCAGACAAGGGUAUACGAGUAGCUGCACUCCCCUGCUGGAACCUCCAAACAAGCUCUUGAGGUCCACAAGUGGCAGCUUUUUUUUCUUUUUAAAAUUUAUUUAAAAGGCAGA